rnacentral:ncRNA from 2 species
CACAGAGUAGAAAGCAAAGCGUUAAGUGCUGUCCGGAUGGGAUGUUGCCGGCAGACGAAGAAAUUGUUUUCGCGGUUUUGUUUUCGCAUUCGCUGCA